AACGGAGGGAACAAGUGUUAUUCGUAUUGAUGGGUGUAAAAUGUGUGUAGAUGGCCUUUUAUGUUUAAUAUUAAAGAUUUUCAAUAUGAAAAUUAAGUUUUAUACUGAAAAGCUAGAGUAUUUAUAAAACAACAGUAUCUUAAGUGUAAUGUGAAAAGUUGCAAUAUUUUUGAGACUAGCGUUAGGCGAAGGCGGUGUUAAGAAAUAUACUGACAUUGAAACACUAAAGCUUAGUAGCAAAUAGG
rnacentral:rRNA from 1 species